GGCUUCUUAAUGUUUCUUGUUAAAAAUGUCUGAUCUUACGAACUCUGUAGUGAUUUUAGUGCUUUACUGAGAUAAACU
rnacentral:snoRNA from 1 species